UACAGGGGGGGCAAGCGUUGUUCGGAAUUACUGGGCGUAAAGGGCUCGUAGGCGGCCAACUAAGUCACACGUGAAAUCCCCAGGCUUAACCUGGGAACUGCGUGUGAUACUGGAUGGCUUGAAUCCGGGAGAGGGAUGCGGAAUUCCAGGUGUAGCGGUGAAAUGCGUAGAUAUCUGGAGGAACACCGGUGGCGAAGGCGGCUUUCUGGACAGAUACCGACGCUGAGGCACGAAAGCUAGGGGAGCAAACAGG
rnacentral:rRNA from 1 species